GACGAACGCUGGCGGCGUGCUUAACACAUGCAAGUCGAACGGUGAAGCGCCUUCCUUUUUGGUGGGUGUGGAUGAGUGGCGAACGGGUGAGUAACACGUGAGUAACCUGCCCCCUUCUUCUGGAUAACCGCAUGAAAGUGUGGCUAAUACGGGAUAUUCUGGGUCUGUCGCAUGAUGGGUCUGGGACAGAUAUUGUUUCGGUGGGGGAUGGGCUCGCGGCCUAUCAGCUUGUUGGUGGGGUGAUGGCCUACCACGGCGGUGACGGGUAGCCGGCCUGAGAGGGUGGACGGUCACACUGGGACUGAGACACGGCCCAGACUCCUACGGGAGGCAGCAGUGGGGAGUAUUGCACAGUGGGCGAAAGCCUGAUGCAGCGACGCCGCGUGAGGGAUGGAGGCCUUCGGGUUGUGAACCUCUUUCGCCAGUGAAGCAGGCCUGCCUCGUUUGUGGGUGGGUUGACGGUAGCUGGAUAAGAAGCGCCGGCUAACUACGUG
rnacentral:rRNA from 1 species